GAUGAACGCUAGCGGCAGGCCUAACACAUGCAAGUCGAGCGGUAGAGGACCUUCGGGUCCUUGAGAGCGGCGCACGGGUGCGUAACGCGUAUGCAACCUACCCUUUACAGGGGAAUAGCCCGUCGAAAGGCGGAUUAAUGCCCCAUGGCUCCUUCGAGAGGCAUCUCUUGGAGGGUAAAGAUUUAUCGGUAAAGGAUGGGCAUGCGUGCCAUUAGCUUGAUGGUGGGGUAACGGCCCACCAUGGCGACGAUGGCUAGGGGUUCUGAGAGGAAGGCCCCCCACACUGGGACUGAGACACGGCCCAGACUCCUACGGGAGGCAGCAGUGAGGAAUAUUGGUCAAUGGGCGCAAGCCUGAACCAGCCAUGCCGCGUGCGGGAAGAAGGCGCUACGCGUCGUAAACCGCUUUUGUCUGGGGGUAACCGCAGGGACGUGUCCCUGCCUGCAAGUACCAGACGAAUAAGGGUCGGCUAACUCCGUG
rnacentral:rRNA from 1 species